rnacentral:lncRNA from 1 species
CCGACUGCCAGGAAUGGCAGAGAGAGAACAGAGGAACUAAAGAGAACCCACCGAUAUAUGAAUGAGGUGAGGGUCCUGUCAAAAGAGUGCUGAGACACAGUGCUAUUUGCUUCUGACAUUCCAGGUGGAAUUGAGUGAAUGAAUACAUGCAGAACUUUUUGACAUAAAAAAUAGACACAGCAUGACAGUCUUAUGGAUUGGAUGAUAUGAUGAUGGGAAACCCAGUUCAGAAACUAAUGAUUGAUUAUUCAUGGCUGCGAAAUAAACAAAAAUUUAAUUGUAUAGUCAUAGAGGGACGGAUAGAUGAAGAUGAAGAAGAAGAAGCAAAUGGC